GGGAGGGGAGAAGGACAUCCCAAUCCUGUUGCCCAGCAGCACCCCAGGAACACACAGGAUGGGGUCCCCUUGCUGACCACGGCUGGGGAAAUCAUUCCCCUGUCAGCAGCUCUGCAGAAAGAGGAAAGGGGGGGCCCAGCCUAGUUUGGCUGGAAGCAGAGUGAGAACCCCAGACCUGCACCCUCAUGGGCACAGGGGAGAGGGGUGUAGCUGGGACGGUGGUGCCAGCCGUCCCCCAGUCUUUAAUGGUGCAUCACGAUGGACCAGUCUAGACAGUGGAGUGCUGUCCCCAGACCUGCCAUUCUAGACGGGGUCUCCCCGGCCAACCUCCCCUCUGUCACCUGCAGCUUCUGCAGCAUUUCCUCGCGCUCCCCCUCCGUCUCCCACUGGCUGCUCUUCUGGCUCUUCAGCUGCUGAAUUUCCUGAAUCACAGAAAGGAAAAUAAUCACUGCCUGGACCAGCCCCGUGCUCCCUGAGCCAUCGCUUCUGAUGCAGCCUCCGCGGUCAUAGGCCAUGCCAAGCCAGGAGACCGAUGCCACAUUGUGCUAACACCCCACCACAGGGGAUACAGGUGAUGGGGGCAGACGGAGCUCUCGCUCCAGACACACACUGAACAAUCCGCAGAACAAACUCCCACCCCCACCCCUUGCCAGGAGCAUCCCCCGGCGCUGCCACCCACCAGCUUGGCACAGCUAGGGAAGAAGGUGCAAAUGAACAAAGCCCAGAGACUCUCUCCACAUCUCCCCUCCCCCAGCCCCUGUAAUUAAAGCUCUGCUUUCAAUCAUUAA